AAGUCACGUGGAAGAGGCCAGAUCGAAGAAAUCAGUGGAAUGGAGGCCGUUACGAAAGCGAAUGUGAGACAAGAGAAAGAAAAGUUUGUGUUGGAUGCUUUCGUAGAUUCAUACACUACCUACGUGAAACGAUUUAUCAACCGCUAAACAUCGAGGAACACGCCAGGCCGUUUACACCACAUAAAAUUCAAAUGGGAAAGUGUCAGGGGCCAGAACAGAAAGUUCAUGAUACAUUAGCUACUGAACAUGUAACACCUGAUCCAGGGAUAUAGACACAGUGUGGUACGACGAAGAAAGUCAUGACACUACAGCUACUGAAGCUGCUGUAAUUGAUAAAGAUGGACCUCCAACGGGCAGAAAAAGCCCGCCCUGUUCUGCGGAGCGUUGACGCUCGCUGUGGACUGUCAAAUUGGCCGGCAGGACAAGGAGGAGCCUUGUGACCUGCCUCCAACACCUUCCUGCCUUGUCGGAACAGCCAGUUUGAAUCAUCUGCACUGCCUACAUUCAGUAGGUCACUGUGGAAAGUCAAGAAUGCCGAAACUAGGCAGAUCCAAAUCAUCUCUGAUUCGUCACUUGUUACAAGGAUUUUCUGGUUUCCCUACAGACGGAAGAGUUAUUCACUCCAAUGUGUACAACAAAAAAAUGUGUGAUGGCCAAAACUGGUGCCGUGUGUGCUAAGGAAUGCUUGAAACGAAAAAUGAAUGAACCAGGAACAGCAGAAGUGCAUCAUCAAAAAGAUCGUGAGAGAAAGAAAGCAGAACAAUAGAAGUUAAUAGCUGAGGGAAAGAUACGUCAUUUACGAAAAUAUGAAAAAGGAAGGAAAAAAAUGCAAUGUGCCAUUGUUUGUCAAACCCAUGCAAAUCCAACAUUAAAAAUGUCACCUAGCAAGUGAUGUCUCCCAAAAUCACCUUCCAAGCAUCCCGAAGUUCUUGGAAAACGAGUCAAAUCCUUUUCACAUUAAAAACUUAGUAAUUUUUUUGAAGUUGCUGGCUUUGCUGCUAGGAAUGUAAAACCAAAACAAACCUUUCUGCAAAGAGCAUGGGGAGUUACCCACUGGACUGUCAAAAUUUACACAAUUACGACAAAAGCAUGUUGUACCUAUAACACUAAGAGAUCGAGAAGUUUGUGUCUGCACUUAUCAUGAAAAUGCUGCUAUGUUAUUAAGGUAUUUGAACAAGCAAAAAAAAAAAAAAAAAUAAUAAUAAUAAAUAAAUAAGUAAAUAAAAAUAAAAAAUAUCUCAGCAACAUUACUCAUGCUUUCUUAAGCAAGUAGUUAUGCCUAAGUAUAUAUUAUUUCAAUUAUUUUGAUGUUUAUAAACCAUUUUACAGUGUUACUUUAUUAAAUGUAAAGGGUACUUUCUCAGAACAGUGUUUUUAAUUAUGUAUGUACAAAGUCUAUAUUUUACUAACAAUAAUUUCAUUUUCCUAUGCUACAUAAGUUUAGUUUCAGUAAUAAAUUAAUAUGUAACUUGUAUGAUAGCAUUUAUUGUUAUAAAAUUCAAUAAAUAACAAUGUAUUUUGUGUUAAAAGUCAAAUUUGUAUAGCUGGGAAAAAAUGUCCCUCUGUAACGUUCUUCUGUAACACUGCAGACAUUCGCUUUCUUGGAUGCAGCAUUUAAUCUAAGAGCAAAAAAAAUCUAUUAUGCCCUUAUUUAUGUACUAAACAUAUGCAGUUAACCAAUUAAAAAAUUUGCUAAGUGAAACAUAAACA